rnacentral:rRNA from 1 species
AGUGAACGCUGGCGGUAGGCCUAACACAUGCAAGUCGAACGGCAGCACAGUAAGAGCUUGCUCUUACGGGUGGCGAGUGGCGGACGGGUGAGGAAUACAUCGGAAUCUACUUUUUCGUGGGGGAUAACGUAGGGAAACUUACGCUAAUACCGCAUACGACCUACGGGUGAAAGCAGGAGAUCUUCGGACCUUGCGCGAUUGAAUGAGCCGAUGUCGGAUUAGCUAGUUGGCGGGGUAAAGGCCCACCAAGGCGACGAUCCGUAGCUGGUCUGAGAGGAUGAUCAGCCACACUGGAACUGAGACACGGUCCAGACUCCUACGGGAGGCAGCAGUGGGGAAUAUUGGACAAUGGGCGCAAGCCUGAUCCAGCCAUGCCGCGUGGGUGAAGAAGGUCUUCGGGUUGUAAAGCUCUGUUGUUGGGAAAGAAAAGCAGCAGGUGAAUACCCCGCUGUUCUGACGGUACCCAAAGAGUAAGCACCGGCUAACUUCGUG